ACCCCACACACACAUAACCUUUUCUCAUUGAAAGCAAAUUCCCAUGCAAAUGUGAAGGAAAAAGAAGAAAUCUGAAAGGAAAAAUAGUAAUUUGCAACUCCUGAAAAACAGAAGAAAAAAUUGAUUCUAUUCCGGAGAACAGCUGCUUUUAUUUAUGCAUAAUCAAAUUCCAAAGCCAGAAGUUGGUAAGAAUGGAUUUAUCUCCCCACUAUCUAAUAUGUAUCCAGAGCUGACCAAUUGAGCUCAUCGGUACAACAAAGCAGGUCCUGACCCAGGGUAACCCAACCCUUAUUUUGCUGCUCUGCAGUGACUCCUUGUCCUGUGUCCCCGCUAUCCAUGCCUGACUUUGAUCCUCACUGCUUUACAAUGAGGCACUAAUGGCACUGGAAUGGAGGAAACAGGUUACUCUGACUUCCAACAGUUCGUAGACCUGCACAGGCUUUAUGCUGUGUCUGAGCUCCGCUAUGCACCUCUGCAUACUUGAAUCUCUUUUCAGCACAAAUUACUGGCAGGUUCCUGAAACUCUUCUUGGUUUCCAGCUCUUAUCUGGGGAUCAAAAAUAGCCACCAUGGCUCACAGAACCUAAGCCAAGGUGCCCCAGCCAACCCCAGGUAGCAACAUAAUCUCUUAAGAAGGCAUCCAGAACAGAAGAAACGAAGAUUAAAAUGAACGGUUGAAGUUGCCACAUCAAUUUCUUAAAGUAUUCCUGCCAGGAUUGAGCACACCACGGCAUUCAUGCAGUGGGAAACCACAGGUUUUCAAAGAAACAUGUAGAAUGAUUUAGCCAUUCUGGAUGAAUUUAGAGGCAAGGUCUUUUUAGGAAGAUGGGUAAAAAUACUUCACAUCUCUUACCACUUGUUUUUGUUUUCUGAACCCAUCUUUGAAAUACAAAGGAAGUUAAGAGAACACAUAAAGAUGAUGGGGAAAAGUCUGUAUCAAACUUAGGAGGGAAGGAAAUCCAGAGAUACAGCUGCAACUCCAUCUUUUUCUGAUCUGCACCAUAGCUGUGCCCAGACAAUUUAAACAUGUUAUAAUUCUGUAAUAAAAACUGUUGUUAACCACAAUCGAGCUGUGACUUGUUCACAUAAAAGGACUUUCUUAAUAGUGUUUACUUAUACGUGUAUUAAAUAGAGCCUGCUGGGUUAAGGAGAAUAGUGGUAAGUAUUUUAAUUGCAGGUCUUUAACUAGCAAGAACUUUAUCCUGUUUCCUCACAGAGGUAGUCAUUACCGAACCGGCUCAGAGGGCAGAAGAUUAAGCACCUAAACCAUUACACAGGGUGUUGAAAACUCGGGGCUUCAUGUAAAUGCCAAGUAUCCUUAGUGUUCAUUUCCCAUUGGGUUUAGUCCCUUGCACUGUCUUCCCAGAAAAACAUCUGAGUUUUCCAAGCGAGUUACAUGGUAGUGAAUUUCUCCUAAAGCUGGUA